rnacentral:rRNA from 1 species
GAGUAACACGUGGGCAACCUACCCUAUAGUUUGGGAUAACUCCGGGAAACCGGGGCUAAUACCGAAUAAUCUCUUUUGCUUCAUGGUGAAAGACUGAAAGACGGUUUCGGCUGUCGCUAUAGGAUGGGCCCGCGGCGCAUUAGCUAGUUGGUGAGGUAACGGCUCACCAAGGCGACGAUGCGUAGCCGACCUGAGAGGGUGAUCGGCCACACUGGGACUGAGACACGGCCCAGACUCCUACGGGAGGCAGCAGUAGGGAAUCUUCCACAAUGGGCGAAAGCCUGAUGGAGCAACGCCGCGUGAGUGAAGAAGGUUUUCGGAUCGUAAAACUCUGUUGUAAGGGAAGAACAAGUACAGUAGUAACUGGCUGUACCUUGACGGUACCUUAUUAGAAAGCCACGGCUAACUACGUGCCAGCAGCCGCGGUAAUACGUAGGUGGCAAGCGUUGUCCGGAAUUAUUGGGCGUAAAGCGCGCGCAGGCGGUCCUUUAAGUCUGAUGUGAAAGCCCACGGCUCAACCGUGGAGGGUCAUUGGAAACUGGGGGACUUGAGUGCAGAAGAGGAAAGUGGAAUUCCAAGUGUAGCGGUGAAAUGCGUAGAGAUUUGGAGGAACACCAGUGGCGAAGGCGACUUUCUGGUCUGUAACUGACGCUGAGGCGCGAAAGCGUGGGGAGCAAA